UGGGGAAUAUUGCACAAUGGAGGGAACUCUGAUGCAGCGACGCCGCGGGAACGAAGAAGGCGUUCGAGUCGUAAAGUUCUUUUAUAAGGGAAGAUAAUGACGGUACCAUAAGAAAAAGCCCCGGCUAACUACGUGCUAGCAGCCGCGGGAAUACGGAGGGGGCUAGCGUAGUCCGGAAUCACUGGGCGUAAAGGGUUCGCAGGCGGAAAUGCAAGUCAGGUGUAAAAGGCAGUAGCUUAACUACUGUAAGCAUUUGAAACUGCAUAUCUUGAGAAGAGUAGAGGUACGUGGAAUUUUUGGUGUAGCGGUGAAAUGCGUAGAUAUUAAAAAGAAUCCCGGUUGCUAAGGCGUCUUACUGUGCUCAUUCUGACGCUUAGGACCGACAGCGUGGGUAGCAAACAGG
rnacentral:rRNA from 1 species